rnacentral:rRNA from 1 species
GACGAACGCUGGCGGCGUGCCUAAUACAUGCAAGUAGAACGCACAGUUUGUACCGUAGCUUGCUCCACCAUAGACUGUGAGUUACGAACGGGUGAGUAACGCGUAAAUAACCUGCCUGGUAGCGUGAGAUAACUAUUGGAAACGAUAGCUAAUACCGCAUACUAUUGAUUAUUGCAUGAUAAUUAAUUGAAAGUUGCAAUUGCACCACUACCAGAUGGACCUGCGUUGUAUUAGCUAGUAGGUGAGGUAACGGCUCACCUAGGCGACGAUACAUAGCAGACCUGCGAGGGGGAGCUGCAAAGCUGGGAUGGGGAGACGGCCAAGACCCCUACGGGAGGGAGCCGUAGGGGACUCUUGGGAAAGGACGAAAGGGGGAAUGAUCAACGACGCGUGAGAGAAUAAGGCUGUCGGACCGUAAAGCUCUGUUGGAAGAGAAGAACGGGAGUGAGAGUGGAAAGGUCACAUUGUGACGGUACCGGAACAGAAAGGGACGGCUAACUACGUG